rnacentral:rRNA from 1 species
GGACUUCAAAAAACUUUUUAAUUGAAGAGUUUGAUCAUGGCUCAGAUUGAACGCUGGCGGCAGGCCUAACACAUGCAAGUCGAGCGGAAACGACAGUAUUGAAGCUUCGGUGGAUUUACUGGGCGUCGAGCGG